GUUCCUGUAGCUUAACACAAAGCAUAGCACUGAAGAUGCUAAGAUGGCCGCCCGCACGCCCAAGAACA
rnacentral:tRNA from 1 species